AUUCGAAGGAGAAAUUUGUAUCUCAUAAAGACUAUAAAUAGAGAACACCAGUCAGUGUUUUUCACACAUUAUUCUACGCAGACUUAAAAGAAAAAAAUUCAGUUUAAAAUUUUAGUUAUUAAGUGUUUUAGUUUACGGAGCAAAAAGGUGUGGUGUUGCUGCUUACACUUCCAGUUCCAGUUUCAAUCAGUGUCUUUGAUUUCCUUUGUUCCGGUGUACCUGUAUUUGUAAGUUUCAAUAACAGUACUUUUAUUUUAUUCAGUUUCAAUAUUAUUAUAUUCCAGU
rnacentral:lncRNA from 1 species